rnacentral:rRNA from 1 species
AUGGCGUCGUCCGCCAUGCACGUAUCCAUUCUUUCCCUCCUCCUCCUAGGCACCACAGUGAGCAUCCCGCGCGCCUCUUCUCGAGCCGUCCCCUCCCAGUCCGACGGCGGCGCCACCGGCGGCAAGGCCGUGUACACCAAGGUCUGCGACGCGUCCCGGUUCAUGGCGGCCGGGCUGGACAUGUCCAAGUACCGCUACUGCAACGCGUCGCUUCCGUACGGCGACCGUGUGCGCGAUCUCAUCGGCUGGAUGACGGUGGAGGAGAAGGUGUCCAACCUCGGCGACUGGGCUGACGGCGCGCCCCGCGUCGGCCUUCCCCAGUACAAGUGGUGGUCGGAGGCGCUACACGGGCUGUCCAGCACCGGCCCCACCACCAAGUUCGACGACCCCAAGAAACCGCGUCUCCACUCCGGCCGCGCCGCCGUCUUCAACGGCACCGUCUUCGCUAACGUCAUCAACAGCGCCGCCUCCUUCAACGAGUCCCUCUGGCAGUCCAUCGGCCAGGUACGCACGUUACGUGUCGUCGGUGCCACGUCUGCUCUUUUUCAUAAUAUCUCAUCAUAUAGAGUGCGUCUAACAACAGAUCUGGUGGCAUGGCAGGCGAUCUCGACGGAGGCCCGAGCGAUGUACAACCUGGGCAAGGGAGGGCUGACGUACUGGAGCCCCAACAUCAACGUGGUGCGCGACCCGAGGUGGGGCCGCGCGCUGGAGACGCCCGGCGAGGACCCCUUCGUCGUCGGCCGCUACGCCGUCAAUUUCGUGCGCGGCAUGCAGGACGUCCCGGGCCACGAGGUGGCCUCCGACCCCAUGUCCCGGCCGCUCAAGACCUCCGCGUGCUGCAAGCACUACGCCGCCUACGACGUGGACGACUGGUACGGCCACACGCGGUUCAAGUUCGACGCCCGCGUCGAGGAGCGCGACAUGGUCGAGACCUUCCAGCGCCCGUUCGAGAUGUGCGUCCGCCACGGCGACGUCAGCAGCGUCAUGUGCUCCUACAACCGCGUCAACGGCAUCCCGGCCUGCGCCGACGCGCGCCUCCUCUCCGGCACCAUCCGCCGCGACUGGGGCCUCCACGGCUACAUCGUCUCCGACUGCGACGCCGUGCGCGUCAUGACCGACAACGCCACAUGGCUGGGCUACACCGCGGUCGAGUCCACCGCCGCCGUGCUCAAGGCCGGGCUCGACCUCGACUGCGGCGAGAGCUGGAUCGUGCAGAACGGCAAGCCCGUCAUGGACUUCCUCACCACCUAUGGCCUGGAAGCCGUCCAAAAGGGCAAGACGCGCGAGUCCGACGUCGACAACGCGCUCACCAACCUCUACAUGACGCUCAUGAGGCUCGGCUACUUCGACGGCAUGCCCAGGUACGAGUCCCUCAACGAGAAGGACAUCUGCAGCGACGACCACAGGAGCCUCGCCCUCGACGGGGCCAGACAGGGCAUGGUGCUCCUCAAGAACCACGGCGGCCUGCUCCCCCUUGACCCCAAGAAGUUCGGCGCCGUGGCCGUCCGCGGCCCACAUGCCGAGGCGCCUGAAAAGAUCAUGGACGGAGACUACACAGGUGAUCAGCCCUUCUCUAGCUGCUGCUGUACUACGUACACCUCACAUGUCACGACACAUGACCUACUCACAUGUUACACAUUCUCUUGGAUGAAAUUUGUAAAUGCAGGGCCGCCUUGCCGGUACGUGACGCCGCGAGAUGGCAUAAGCAAGGACGUGAAGAUCUCGCACGACGCAAACUUGACCAUCUACUUCGGUGGCAUAAACAUGCACAUCGAGAGGGAGGGCAACGACAGGGAGGAUCUCCUCCUGCCCAAGAACCAGACGGAGCAGAUCCUCCAUAUCGCGGCGGCAUCGCCUAACCCGAUCGUCCUCGUGAUCCUGUCCGGCGGCGGCAUCGACAUCUCCUUCGCGCAGGGCAACCCCAAGAUCGGCGCCAUCCUCUGGGCCGGGUACCCUGGUGGGGAAGGUGGCAACGCCAUUGCUGAUGUCAUCUUCGGAAGAUACAGUCCAGGAGGACGGCUGCCAUUGACAUGGUUCAAGAACAAGUACAUCCACCAGAUUCCUAUGACGUCCAUGGAGCUACGGCCGCGGCCGGACCACGGAUAUCCGGGGAGGACGUACAAGUUCUACGACGGGCCGGAGGUGCUUUAUCGGUUCGGCCACGGCCUGAGCUACACCAAGUUCCGAUACGAGACCAGCGCUGGCAACGGCACCGCAGUCACCCUCGCCGCCGGCGGGCACUGCAAGCGGCUCAGCUACAAGGCCGGCGCCGUGGACGCUACACCGUCCUGCCCCGCCAUCGACGUCGCGAGCCACUCCUGCAAAGAGACCGUGGACUUCAACGUCAGCGUCGUCAAUGGCGGUGACGUGGACGGCAGCCACACGGUGCUGGUGUACACUGUGCCGCCGCCCGAGGUGGCCGGCGCGCCCAUCAAGCAGGUGGUGGCGUUCCAGAGGGUGUUUGUGAAGGCGGGCGGCGCAGCGACCGUGGGGUUCUCGCUCAAGGUGUGCGAGGCGUUUGGCAUCGUGGAGAAGACGGCUUACACCGUCGUGCCGUCAGGGGUCAGCACCGUCCUCCUUGAGAACGGUGACACGUCGUCGCCGUCGUCGGUGUCUUUCCCCGUCAAGAUCAACUUCUCUACUUAG